UACAGAGGGUGCAAGCGUUGUUCGGAAUUAUUGGGCGUAAAGAGCGUGUAGGCGGUCUGGUAGGUCCGUUGUGAAAACUCGAGGCUCAACCUCGAGACGCCGAUGGAAACCCUCAGACUAGAGUCCGGAAGAGGAGAGUGGAAUUCCUGGUGUAGCGGUGAAAUGCGUAGAUAUCAGGAGGAACACCGGUGGUGUAAACGGCUUUCUGGACCAUAACUGACGCUGAGGCACGAAAGCGUGGGUAGCAAACAGG
rnacentral:rRNA from 1 species